rnacentral:rRNA from 1 species
AUUGAACGCUGGCGGCAGGCCUAACACAUGCAAGUCGAACGAGUGGCGGACGGGUGAGUAAUGUCUGGGCAACUGCCUGAUGGAGGGGGAUAACUACUGGAAACGGUAGCUAAUACCGCAUACCAUCAGAUGUGCCCAGAUGGGAUUAGCUUGUUGGUGGGGUAACGGCUCACCAAGGCGACGAUCCCUAGCUGGUCUGAGAGGAUGACAAGCAACACUGGAACUGAGAAACGGCCCAGACCCCUACGGGAGGAAGAAGGGGGGAAUAUUGCACAAUGGGGGCAGGCUGGAGACAGCCAUGCCGCGUGGAGGAAGAAGGCCUUCGGGUUGUAAAGUACUUUCAGCGGGGAGGCGUUACCCGAAGAAGAAGCACCGGCUAACUCCGUGCCAGCAGCCGCGGUAAUAC